CCAGUUGUGCCGUCAACUGCUCCCACCGGCACAUGCAGGAUGAGUAAUCGCCCUGUGUGAAGCUGCCGGAAACGUACCCGCAGGAAACCGUAGGCUGCUCCGCGAGGAAAUGCCGAAUCUGCCAGUAGCAGGCGGAGAGGGGC
rfam:Chlorobium phaeobacteroides BS1, complete genome.